UUGUGGCAAAUUCUGUCUCCAGAGCUGUCAAUACCUGACAGCAAACGUGACGCUACAUUCCAAGACUCAGCCUGAUGGUCUAAGCUCAGUUCCUCAGAAAACAGUACUGUCUCUUACCAGCGGGGAGAAGGACUGAGCCUCAGGAAAAAGAAAAUGCUGCGUAAGAUAUGAAUGCUUCCAACCUCACAGGGCUCAUCUUGGUAUCUAACGUAAGGAAGACACAGCGUGUAUCAGCUAUGACUG
rnacentral:lncRNA from 1 species